GACGAACGCUGGCGGCGUGCCUAAUACAUGCAAGUCGAGCGGAAUGAUGAAGAAGCUUGCUUCUUCUGAUUUUAGCGGCGGACGGGUGAGUAACACGUGGGCAACCUACCUUGUAGAUUGGGAUAACUCCGGGAAACCGGGGCUAAUACCGAAUAAUCCAUUUUGCCUCAUGGCGAGAUGUUGAAAGACGGUUUCGGCUGUCACUACAAGAUGGGCCCGCGGCGCAUUAGCUAGUUGGUAGGGUAAUGGCCUACCAAGGCGACGAUGCGUAGCCGACCUGAGAGGGUGAUCGGCCACACUGGGACUGAGACACGGCCCAGACUCCUACGGGAGGCAGCAGUAGGGAAUCUUCCACAAUGGACGAAAGUCUGAUGGAGCAACGCCGCGUGAGUGAAGAAGGUUUUCGGAUCGUAAAACUCUGUUGUAAGGGAAGAACACGUACGAGAGUAACUGCUCGUACCUUGACGGUACCUUAUUAGAAAGCCACGGCUAACUACGUG
rnacentral:rRNA from 1 species